CAGCAGUCAAGAAUAUUAGUCAAUGCUCGCAAGAGUGAACUAGCUAACUGAAAUCCUUGAUGUGUCAUCGAGGAUAACGUAAGGGAAAAUAAUGAUAUUACCUUGCUAUUAGUGUCGUCCAAGUGCUCGUGCCAGAAGACUCGGUAAGGCGAGAGACGCAAACGUUAUUCGUCUUGAUCAGGCGUAAAGGGUUUGUAGGCGGCUUUAAGUAUCCAAUUUUAAUUUUACCAUUUUAAUUUUAUUUUUAAUAAUAUUAUAAUAUUUAUUAAAGGAUCAAUUAAAGCUAGAAUCUAACGGGGGUUAAAACAAUGCUUAAAGUAGGUGUACGAACCAUAGAUAUUAAGUAGAGUGUUAAGGGCGAAGGCUUUUAUCCAAUAAAGAUUGACGCUGAGAAACGAAGGUGAGGACAGAAAAAAGGAUUAGAGACCCUUGUAUCCCUCACUGUCAACGAUGAAUGGUAGUUACUAGGGAGAAAUAACCUAGAGACGAUGUUAACACGAAAACCAUUCCGCCUUGUGAGUACGACUGCAAAGUUGAAAACAAAAAAAUUAGUCGGUUUCGGAGCAAACGAAGUGAAGCAUGUUAUUUAAUUCGAUAAUCCGC
rnacentral:rRNA from 1 species